rnacentral:lncRNA from 11 species
GUUUUUGUUUGACUGCUGUUAAAACAUAGCAAGAGAGAUAUAUAAAGAAAGGAAAGAAAGACAGACAGUUCUGCCGAAUAGCUGUCUCUCGCCACCUCUUACCUUCACGUUAGUCCGGAGUGCACAGUAACAUGCAAAAAACAUUGCAGUAAACAAGGAGCAUAUGGACCAGGACGCAGCUUCUCUGCUCUGCACAAACCAUAUACCACAUACACACACACGAUCCUCAGCAUGUGCCUACUAAAGAAGCAUUCAUUCUCUCUCUGUCAGUUUCAAAUGCAUUGAUCUCUGGGCUUUUUUGGCUCCCCCCGGACUAGAGGAAAGACAUGUCUUGAAGGCACUGAAUGAAAGCUACACGUCUCCUCUUGCCUGCCUAUACGGCGGCGCAUGAUGCUGCCCAGCUAUGGCAAUUAGGAGAGAUUUCGGCAGCUGCAACUUAAGGGACUUCAGUGGCUGUGCAUUCCAGCAUUUUUGAAAAUCAGUGUGGAAAUGAAACCGGGAGCGAGGGAGGGGGAGAGAGCCAAAGAGGAGGAGGAAGACAAUGACGGUGAAGAUGAGAAGGAGGAGGAGGUGAAGGAAGAAGAGUCGCUCCCCAAAGGGGGAGAAGAGGGCAGAAAGAACUGGAGAGAAACUGAAACUGGCAGAUUUAUCCUUCCAAGCAGAGGGCACUGAAAGGUAAGCUCUUAAAAGGCUGGGCUGAAAUCCCUGUGUAUUCAAGCAUGUGCCGGAUGCAAAAUCAAAGUUGCCAAAUCUUUGCUUUGUUAUCAUCAUGAAUACCUCAUUUUACCUGCUACACAGCAAGCAGGUAAUGCCUAAUCUGGGCAUGACUUUCACUCUUAAAUAUGGCCAGUGUGCAAAUCAGUGAGCCUUUUGUUCAGGUUUUUUUUAUAUAAGCAGGACUUUUAACAUUUACAUAUGUUUUCAUACAAAGAAUAGAAAAAACUUGAGAUUCAAGUAGGAAAGAAAUUUGCCCAAACUAAUAACACAGCAUGGCUCCCUGAACUGAGAAUUUCCCACCCUCUUUUUAACACAAAUAUAUGCAUGGAUGGUCAAUUCAUAAUAGCUGGCUUAAGUUACACAAGUCAUGUGGAGUGAGUUAUUGGCCACGAUGCAAUAAACUUAUUCAACUGGCUUAAGUGCAUUCUAGACAGUGGAAAUAAUGCUGCUAUGGUUCAAUACCAUGGAAUCAUGAGAGUUGUAGCUUGGUGAUGCACUAGCACUCUUUGACAGAGAAGGCUAAAUACCUUGUAAUACUACAACUCUCAUGAUUCCAUAGCAUUUAGUCAUAGCCGUUAAAAGUGGUGUCAAGUUGCAUUAAUUUUAUAGUGUAGGUGUAUCCUAGGUCAUCCUUUUCCUUGAAGAGCUAGGCAUUGCAAGAUCCUCCAGCAUGAUUCUAUAUUCUAGAAAGUCUGGUAAACAUCUGAAGAGGGCACUUCUCUGGGUACCACCACUACUCUGGCAUGAUUCUAGGGUCAAUUUCCUGGAGGACCUAGAAAAUAUCUGAAGACAUAUCAUGGAAUCAUAGAAUUGAAAGAGACCUCAUGGGACACGCAGUCCAACCCCAUUCUGCCAAGAAGCAGGAAAAUUGCAAUCAAAGCACUCCCAAAAGAUGGCCAUUCAGCCUCUGUUUAAUAGUCUCCAAAGAAGGAGUCUCCACCACACUCUGGGGCAGAGAGUUCCACUGCUGAACAGCUCUCACAGUGAGGAUGUUCUUCCUCAUGUUCAGGUGGAAUUUCCUUUCCUGUAGUUUGAAGCCAUUGUUCUGCAUCUUAGUCUCCAGGGCAGCAGAAAACAAGCUUGCUCCCUCCUCCCCAUGACGUCCCCUCAUGGCCCUCAUCAUGCCUCCUCUCAGCCUGCAGACUAAACAUGCCCAGCUCUUUCAGCCACUCCUCAUAGGGCUUGUUCUUCAGACCCUUGAUCAUUUUAGUUGCCCUCCUCUGGACACAUUCCAGCUUGUCAACACCUCCCUUCAAUUGUGGUGUCCAGAACUGGACACAGUGUGAUUCUAGGUGUGGUCUGACCAAGACAGAAUGGAGGGGUAGCAUGACUUCCCUGGAUCUAGGCAUUAGACUCCUAUUUAUGCAAGCCAAAAUCCCAUUGGCUUUUUCAGCUGCCGCAUCACAGUGUUGGGUCAUGUUUAACUUGUUGUCCACAAGGAC